CCGGGCAGCGGGCAGCGAGACCAAUAGGCAGACUAAGCAUGUAGAUCCUCAGGCGGAGGAUCCACGGACGCGGGUUCGAUUCCCGCCGCCUCCACCA
rnacentral:tmRNA from 1 species